rnacentral:rRNA from 1 species
GAUGAACGCUAGCUACAGGCUUAACACAUGCAAGUCGAGGGGAAACGACAGAGGAAGCUUGCUUCCUUUGGGCGUCGACCGGCGCACGGGUGAGUAACGCGUAUCCAACCUUCCCGCAAGUAAGGGAUAACCCGUAGAAAUGCGGCCUAAUACCUUAUGUUUUCCUUAGAGGGCAUCUGAUGAGGAACAAAGAUCCGUCGCUUGCGGAUGGGGAUGCGUCUGAUUAGUUAGUCGGCGGGGUAACGGCCCACCGAGACGACGAUCAGUAGGGGUUCUGAGAGGAAAGUCCCCCCACAUUGGGAACUGAGACACGGUCCAAACUCCUACGGGAGGCAGCAGUGAGGAAUAUUGGUCAAGUGGGGCGGAAGCCUGAACCAGCC